AGUCAGUGCGCGGCCAGGUACGGGCCCGGGGUCCGCGGGGCCGGUGCCGCCAUGGCGGCCGUGUUUGAUUUGGAUUUGGAGACGGAGGAAGGCAGCGAGGGCGAGGGCGAGCCAGAGCUCAGCCCCGCGGACGUGUGUCCCGUUGCCGAGUCGAGGGCAGCUGGCCUAGAGCCUGUGGGACACUAUGAAGAGGUGGAGCUGACUGAGACCAGCGUGAACCUUGGCCCAGAGCGCAUCGGGCCCCACUGCUUUGAGCUGCUGCGUGUGCUGGGCAAGGGGGGCUAUGGCAAGGUGUUCCAGGUGCGAAAGGUGCAAGGCACCAACUUGGGCAAAAUAUAUGCCAUGAAAGUCCUAAGGAAGGUGGCGAGCUCUUCACGCAUCUGGAGCGAGAGGGCAUCUUCCUGGAAGACACGGCCUGGUGGGUGUUACUCCUCCGCUUUCCUGAGGCCGCCAGGUCCCUGCCCUACUCCCGCCUUCACCCUGUCUUGUUUCUGCAGCUUCUACCUGGCCGAGAUCACGCUGGCCCUGGGCCAUCUCCACUCCCAGGGCAUCAUCUACCGGGACCUCAAGCCCGAGAACAUCAUGCUCAGCAGCCAGGGCCACAUCAAACUGACCGACUUUGGACUCU
rnacentral:sRNA from 1 species